rnacentral:rRNA from 1 species
AACGAACGCUGGCGGCAGGCUUAACACAUGCAAGUCGAACGCGUGUAGCAAUACACGAGUGGCGCACGGGUGAGUAACGCGUAGAUAUCUGCCUUCUGGUUCGGAAUAACCCCGGGAAACUGGGGCUAAUACCGAAUGGUUCCUACGGGAUAAAGAUUUAUCGCCAGAAGAUGAGUCCGCGUCCGAUUAGCUAGUUGGUGAGGUAACGGCUCACCAAGGCGACGAUCGGUAGCUGGUCUGAGAGGACGAUCAGCCACACUGGGACUGAGACACGGCCCAGACUCCUACGGGAGGCAGCAGUGGGGAAUAUUGGACAAUGGGGGCAACCCUGAUCCAGCCAUGCCGCGUGAGUGAUGAAGGCCUUCGGGUUGUAAAGCUCUUUUGGCGGGGACGAUGAUGACGGUACCCGCAGAAUAAGCCCCGGCUAACUUCGUGCCAGCAGCCGCGGUAA